rnacentral:lncRNA from 1 species
UAUGUGUGUGUGUGUCUGGGGAUCGAUCAAGGCAGGGAAGAAAAAGGGUUCAACCCUAGUUGCUAAUCCAGCCAAAUUAGAAGAAAAUUUCAAAGAUAAUUGAUUGCAUGAACUCAAGUUUCGAUCAUCUAAGCUCAUAUAGGGAAGUGGCGUAAAAAAAGAAAGCUCAAACGCUAGGAAAUCGGAAGGUUCGCAAGAUCGAGGUUUGUGUGUCGAAUAUGACCUAUUGUUCCAAUUUCAUCGCCUUCAGGUGUGUUUCUCCAGGUCUUUUGUCACUCUACGUGAAGUUUGUUUUUGUGUUAGUUAAGUUUAGUAAAAUUCGAGCAUCUCGAGUUAGGGUUUGUAGAAUGAGAUUUCAUUUGCGAUGGUUAAUCGUUGUGUUAUGUUAUGAGAUUUGAAUUUCUGUUACGAACUACUAUUUUGGAUUGAAUUUGUGCUCUGAGUUGACUUCGUUGGAUCCUACAUUUUGAUGAGCAAUUGGGAGUUAAUGAAGCAGGGUUAGAGAAUCCAUGAGCUCCUAUGUUAAGAAAUAUAGUUUCUGAGGUGAGAAUCUUUAACUUGUUGUGAGAGAGAUCCCACACCCUCCUAAACAGAGGGCCCUAACCCCACUUUGGCCAGACUAUGUUGUCUUAACUAUGUCCACGCUGGCGUCAGAGUUUGGCUAACGACGUUCCACGGGAAGCCAUACCACCACUGCAAGUAACAGGGGCUUGCACCGCCACAAGAAAGAUUCUCUCUGGCGUGACGCACGGUGGAUUAAAACCCGGGGUGGCUCGGACUCGAACUCUUGACCUAAGCACAUAUUGAACGGUGAUGAGAAGUGUCCCUUGUGCGAUGAGUUAGUGGAGACGGCUGAGCAUUGCUCGUGCUCAGUGGCCUCAAAUAUCUGGUAUCGUAUCAGCCGUUGGUGCAAGAUUAGCCCGAUCUAUGCCUUCUCUAUUAGAGAUUUGUUGUCUAUCCAUGAGUACUCGGGACUGGAAAAAACGCUAAAGAAGCCCUUCAAGGUAUUAUUAUAGUUGGUUGUUGGUGUUUAUGGAAAGCUAGAAACGAGAGGAGGUUCAAGAAUAAUAGGAAAGAGAUCUCGGUUACUUUUCAAGAUGUUAAAGUCUUAGGUUUCUUAUGGUACAGAAAUAAAUCUAGAAAUAGGAAGGUAUUUUAUGGAAUAGCUUGUGCUCUUUCAAUUUUUUAUAAUUGGUUGUUGUUUGUGUGGUUGCCCUUGUUUUGAGGGUUAGCUUGUGAAUAAAAAUUACUUUCAAAAAAAAAAAGCACAUGUAUUUAUUGAGUCUCAUAAAUAGUAGUUCUUUAUUAACUUUUUAGU